rnacentral:rRNA from 1 species
AACGAACGCUGGCGGCAUGCCUAACACAUGCAAGUCGAACGAGACCUUCGGGUCUAGUGGCGCACGGGUGCGUCACGCGUGGGAACCUGCCCUUAGGCUCGGAAUAACUCAGAGUAAUUUGAGCUAAUACCGGAUAAUGUCCUCGGACCAAAGAUUUAUCGCCCUUGGAUGGGCCCGCGUUGGAUUAGCCUGUUGGUAGGGUAAUGGCCUACCAAGGCGACGAUCCUUAGCUGGUCUGAGAGGAUGAGCAGCCACACUGAGACUGGGACACGGCCCAGACUCCUACGGGAGGCAGGAGAGGGGAAUAUUGGACAAUGGGCGAAAGCCUGAUCCAGCAAUGCCGCGUGAGUGAUGAAGGCCUGAGGGAAGUGAAGCUCGUUUACCAGGGACGAUAAUGACAGUACCUGGAGAAUAAGCACCGGCUAACUCCGUG